GCCUCCUUAGCUCAGUAGGUAGCAGCGACGGACUGUUAAUCCGUAGGUCGCAGGUUCGAGCCCUGCAGGAGGCGCCA
rnacentral:tRNA from 8 species